GGCUUCAUGACAUCAAGAUACAGCUGGUGGUCUAUGUAGGGCUCUUUGGCAUAAAUGUGAGGGGUCCUUGGAGGCACCUUGGAACAUGCUGCUAAACAUAUUUAUUGAAGAAACUCAGGGAAACGAGGCAUCAGCAUGAGAAGCACAGGAAGUGCUGCAAGCUGAGGCUGGGGCCUAGCCAGGGCUGAGGCUUGGACUCAGGACUGAGGAUGCUUCACGCUGAGAAGGAUGUGGUCACACUCAUGACCCUCCACCACUGUUUACCUGCUCUCAUUUCUUGUGAAUUGGACCCUCAUGGGCUGUGGUAGCAGUCUUCCUUUUCCUCUGGUUGUGGUUUGGAAGCCGUUAAUAGAAGCACCAGCAGGAGAAUGGGAAGUAGGAAGAGAGUGAGGUAAGGAUUUCCUUGGGGAAUAUAUAGUA